GCUGAUGUAGCCCAGUGGUUAGGGUGGAGCGCUGCUGCCUGGACUGCCAGGGAUCAAAACCUGGCACUGGCA